ACGCUGGCGGCAGGCCUAACACAUGCAAGUCGAGCGGCAGCGGGAAGUAGUUUACUACUUUGCCGGCGAGCGGCGGACGGGUGAGUAAUGUCUGGGGAUCUGCCUGAUGGAGGGGGAUAACUACUGGAAACGGUAGCUAAUACCGCGUGACCUCGCAAGAGCAAAGUGGGGGACCUUAGGGCCUCACGCCAUCGGAUGAACCCAGAUGGGAUUAGCUAGUAGGUGGGGUAAUGGCUCACCUAGGCGACGAUCCCUAGCUGGUCUGAGAGGAUGACCAGCCACACUGGGACUGAGACACGGUCCAGACUCCUACGGGAGGCAGCAGU
rnacentral:rRNA from 1 species